UCCUCUUUGAAGUAGCCAGUCAAAAUUAGCUUAGAGUGUGCAGUACAACCCUAUCCAAUAGGGGAAAGAUACAGCAGUAGGGACUAUCUGUAUUAGGAAUAAGAACCCUUUCCCCUCCCUUAUCCAGUGUGCCCUUGCCAUUGCUCCAUCUGCAAGACUCACCCUUCUAUAGAAGUAAAUUUGCCUUGCUGGAGUGUUAACUUGUUGUUGGAGUGCUAACUCUUCUUUGUGGCACCAAAAAGUUAUUUCCAACACGAAGCUGCACCCUUGGUGGAGGGAACAUCUGACGAAGUUCAAUGUUUGGGGAAAACAAUAUCUGGAAAGAUUGAAGAGUCAGCAGGAGAAACACCUAGGAAAAUUACAAGGCCUGUGAAAGAAACAUCUGAGAAAUUUGCAUGGCCACAAGAAAGACCUACAAAGACCACAUGGGAGGAAAAAGAAACAUCUGUAAAGACUGAAUGCGUGGCAGGAGUAACAUCUAAUAAAACUGAAGUUUUGGAAGAAGGAACAUCUAAGAUGAUCACAUGUCCUACAAAAAAACAGCUACAAAAGCAAGUACACAUGUUCCUCAGUGUGGCUGGCCUAGAUAUUGACCCUACACAGUUGCCUCCUCCUGGUGACUACCAGCUAUGGAACCGUUGGAUACAACCUACCUGACUCACCCCACAGACCUCACAGCACACAUGGACAGACCCCACACGCCAGAGUGACCUGCUCGGUUGCAGCGGGAGUCAAGAAAUGUGCCUGCUGGCACUCACCCCACAGACUAGUGCCCCGUGGAAAACUUAUUUGGGUAAUGUUCUGGGCCGAAUAAAGGCUGGAGUCCCACAGACCCCUUUUCUCUCUCCUGCUCCCCACUCAUCUUCCCCA
rnacentral:lncRNA from 1 species